GAACAGAGCAAGUGGCGUUGCUUUGGGGCGAACACGGGGUCACUGAAACGCCUGGCGUUACGGGGCUGGGAAGAUCCUCCGUGCCUUGUGCUGUUCCCAGUCCGCAAACCUCACGGAUUCUUUAGCGUCUUUGCUCCGUGACGCUUCAGAAAUGCAGCGGUCCGGCUUCGCAGGGGGUGCUGGCAGCCAGCAGCGGAUGCACCGUGUCUCCGCUGACUUGUCGCGGUGCAAAUUCGGCGGCACCGAGGGAAAUGCCCCGGGAGAUCUGCGCCCUGGGGCAACAGGGUCCCCUGGCCAGCGAGAGACGCUCGGCAGGAAGGAAUGAGUGGCGAGAUGCUUCUCUCGCAUCUUGCCCCAAGCAAAGUGUUUCAAAAGUCAGCUAAAUUACAAAGCUGAUGACUCCCAGGAGAUGUCAACCUCUGCCCUCCACUGAGAAGGCACAAGCGGGAACACUGCUUGAAGCUUCCUGACCAAUUUGCAUCUGGCUUAUCAGCAAGACACUGCAUCACUAUGUUCCAGCUAAGAGGUGUAGAACGGUAUGUUUGAAACAGAAAUGUCUCUGAGACCACUUCUGACUGUCUGCUGGGUUCCUCGUCAGGGUGGAUCGUCAGGAGCGAAUCCAGUUUGCUGCACUUCCACACCCAGCCCGGCACCCACGACUGGUCCUCGCUGGAAUGCCACCCACGUCCUCCGCGCUGGUUCUUCUCUCUGUGCUGUCAAACGGGACGUCCAUGGAAGCUUAUCAGAGUGGUUUUUGCAGGCUCUGCCAGCUAUCCAAGCGCUGUACUGUCCGCUCCUUUAUCCUCAGCAUCUCCGCGACUGCUGGCAAAGUCCACCGAGCUUUCGAGGGCCACGGUCCAGAAGGUGCCUGCCUCAUCUGCACGUUAUAAACAGCACCACGGCAGCUCCCGGCGCGGCUCGCUGA